UUCUUUGCGGUAUGACAGAAUACGAGACUUCAAGUGGGCCAAUUUUGGUAAACAAAAUAUGGCAAUGAGGGAUGAACCUAAUGCCUGGAUAAGGUGCCUAAAUAUUCGCUCAUGGGAUCCCAUAAAAGGUGUUGGUUCAUAGAGACAGUAGGACGGUAAUCAUGGAAGUUGAAAUCCGCUAAGGAGUGUGUAACAACUCACCUACCGAAUGGAACUAGCUCUGAAAAUGGAUGGCGCUAAAGCGGAUUACCGAUACCAGGCCAUAAAAAGUGAAAUGGCUUCGAAACAAAGCCGCUCCCAUUUUUGUGUCCUUUUGACAGCUUUUUAUGAGUAGAAAAUCGUGGGGUUUUGUGCAGAAGCGAAAUACGUGAGUAUUCGUGGAACAUAUCCCUAGUG
rnacentral:ncRNA from 1 species